rnacentral:tRNA from 1 species
GCGUCUGUGGUGAAAUUGGUAUAUACAGGGGAUUUAAAAUCCCCCGCUUAAUUGCAUGUCGGUUCGAGUCCGAUCAGACGCACAA